GAUGAAUGCUGGCGGCGUGCCUAACACAUGCAAGUCGAGCGGCAGCGAGUUUUACACUGAAUUCUGGAAGCUUCUGAGUAGUACAGAAGAUUUAUUCAAGAGUUUUGUGUAAAAUGUCGGCGAGCGGCGGACGGCUGAGUAACGCGUAGGAAUUUGCCCCAAAGUGAGGAAUAACUGCCCGAAAGGGUAGCUAAUGCCGCAUAUGGUCUUCGGAUUAAAGCCUUCGGGCGCUUUGGGAGAAGCCUGCGUUGGAUUAGGUAGUUGGUAGGGUAAUGGCCUACCAAGCCGACGAUCCAUAGCUGGUCUGAGAGGAUGAUCAGCCAGACUGGAACUGAGACACGGUCCAGAAUCCUACGGGAGGCAGCAGUGAGGAAUCUUCCACAAUGGGCGAAAGCCUGAUGGGGCAACGCCGCGUGAAGGAUGAAGGCCUUCGGGUUGUAAACUUCUUUUAUGAGUGAAGAAUAUGACGGUAACUCAUGAAUAAGCACCGGCUAACUACGUG
rnacentral:rRNA from 1 species